rnacentral:misc_RNA from 1 species
GAAAUGCGAUAAGUAAUGUGAAUUGCAGAAUUCAGUGAAUCAUCGAAUCUUUGAACGCAGCUUGCGCUCCUUGGUAUUCCUUGGAGCAUGCCUGUUUGAGUAUCAUGAAAUCUUCAAAGUAAAUCUUUUGUUAACUCAAUUGGUUUCUACUUUGGUAUUGGAGGUCUUUGCAGCUUCACACCUGCUCCUCUUUGUUCAUUAGCUGGAUCUCAGUGUUAUGCUUGGUUCCACUCGGCGUGAUAAGUUAUCUAUCGCUGAGGACACUGUAAAAGGUGGCCAAGGUAAAUGCAGAUGAACCGCUUCUAAUAGUCCAUUGACUUGGACAAUACUUUUAUGAUCUGAUCUCAAAUCAGGUAGGACUACCCGCUGAACUUAAGCA